AUUGAACGCUGGCGGCAGGCCUAACACAUGCAAGUCGAGCGAGCGGCGGACAGGUGAGUAAUGUAUGGGGACUGCCCGAUAGAGGGGGAUAAAUACUGGAAACGGUAUCUAAUACCGCAUACAAACGGAUAACCCAGAUGCUAUUAGCUAGUCGGUGAGGUAAUGGCCCACCUAGGCGACGAUCCCUAGCUGGUCUGAGAGGAUGAUCAGCCACACUGGGACGGAGACACGGCCCAGACUCCUACGGAGGCAGCAGUGGGGAAUAUUGCACAAUGGGCGCAAGCCUGAUGCAGCCAUGCCGCGUGUAUGAAGAAGGCCCUAGGGUUGUAAAGUACUUUCAGUCGGGAGGCGUUACCGACAGAAGAAGCACCGGCUAACUCCGUGCCAGCAGCCGCGGUAAUUC
rnacentral:rRNA from 1 species